AGGACGAACGCUGGCGGCGUGCUUAACACAUGCAAGUCGAGCGGAAAGGCCCUUCGGGGUACUCGAGCGGCGAACGGGUGAGUAACACGUGAGUAAUCUGCCCCUAGCUCUGGGAUAGCUCCGGGAAACCGGGAUUAAUACCGGAUACGACCACCUUAGACAUCUUUUGUGGUGGAAAGAAUUUCGGCUAGGGAUGAGCUCGCGGCCUAUCAGCUUGUUGGUGGGGUAACGGCCUACCAAGGCGACGACGGGUAGCCGGCCUGAGAGGGCGACCGGCCACACUGGGACUGAGACACGGCCCAGACUCCUACGGGAGGCAGCAGUGGGAAUAUUGCGCAAUGGGCGAAAGCCUGACGCAGCGACGCCGCGUGGGGAUGAAGGCCUUCGGGUUGUAAACCCCUUUCAGCAGGGACGAAGCGAAAGUGACGGUACCUGCAGAAGAAGCGCGGCUAACUACGUGCCAGCGAGCCGC
rnacentral:rRNA from 1 species